AGAUACACAAAUAAGCAAGUAGCUCACUUCAUAGCUCACACUGGAUGUUUACAGCAUCAAUUCUGCUUUUUUUCCCCCUCAAAGGUACAACAGAAGGGCUGCUUGCAGAACCUGAAGCAGAGCUUCGUGUUCACAGAGGCCGCAGUGUCCUACUUCGAGCACGACUGACUGACCCCUGAUGCUCAGCUCAUGAAAGCCUUGGCACUUCCAUUCGGCGGAGAGGAAAGGGGAAGAGGGAGAGGUUACGCAGCUCACUGCUCAGAAUAAACCCCUAUAGGUGGCUGUACUGCAAGUGUCCUGUUCAAAUGUGAAAAUGUGAAAAGAAAUCAUCAAUUAGCCAGACAUUGUAUGAAAAGUAGUCGUUCACAAUUAAGUUUCCCUCGUUAUGUCAAGAAGAGAAGAGCUCCCUAUCGCUGCCCAGGUCAACUUCAAGACUUGACGGCUCCACCCAGGAGAGGUCCGAAAGUGAAAUUCCGACUGGUUCUCGGUUUUGUGGUGGAAUGAGCUCCCUCUGUCCCUCGGAGCUGCUGAAGCCCCCCUGACUUCCAAGAAGGUUCUCAAAUCCACCUCCUUCAGAACCACUUCACUCCCUUCUGAUCUCCUGACAGCUACAUAAAUGAAUCCAACACCAUCUGCUAUGAUCAUAAGGAAAGUGCUGCAGACGCUGAGGGCUGCAGCGGAACACCUGGUUCCUACCUGCCCCAGGCGGGCAUCUCCUCCAAAUGAGCAUCACUGCAGGAAGCAGCAUCGCUCCAAAGCACCCAGUGUUUCUUUUCUUUUCUUUUUUUUGGAGAAAACAUCGCUAUGCUUUUUCCCUCCAAUUUCCAGGGAUCUGCUUCCCUAAGCGAUGGGAUGAUCCUGCAGAGAGUAAAUAUGCUGUAACUGCUGCUCAGCACUUUCACUGUAAUUCUCUACUGCUGAUUCACGUCUUUCGCAUGGAGCUCAGAUGAAGACUUAGAGCCGCUUAAACUCAACUUUUCAACAGCCACGGAAAUAUAUUGUUGUGUCUUUUCCCUCCUCCACUCCAACCAGGCCUAACAGAGCAGCUUCCUGGGGACGUGACCUUUAAUUUCACCACGUUUACGGCUGAUGCUUCCGAGAGUUUCACAUUCAAACUCAACCGA